CCUACGGGAGGCAGCAGUGGGGAAUAUUGGACAAUGGGCGAAAGCCUGAUCCAGCAAUGCCGCGUGAGUGAUGAAGGCCUUCGGGUCGUAAAGCUCUUUUACCAGGGAUGAUAAUGACAGUACCUGGAGAAUAAGCUCCGGCUAACUCCGUGCCAGCAGCCGCGGUAAUACGGAGGGAGCUAGCGUUGUUCGGAAUUACUGGGCGUAAAGAGUACGUAGGCGGUUAUUCAAGUCAGAGGUGAAAGCCCGGGGCUCAACCCCGGAACUGCCUUUGAAACUAGAUAACUAGAGUCUUGGAGAGGUUAGUGGAAUUCCGAGUGUAGAGGUGAAAUUCGUAGAUAUUCGGAAGAACACCAGUGGCGAAGGCGACUAACUGGACAAGUACUGACGCUGAGGUACGAAAGCGUGGGGAGCAAACAGGAUUAGAUACCCUGGUAGUCCACGCCGUAAACGAUGGUAACUAGUUGUUCGGUCACUUGGUGACUGAGUGACGCAGCUAACGCAUUAAGUUAUCCGCCUGGGGAGUACGGUCGCAAGNUUAAAACUCAAAGGAAUUGACGGCUGAGACGNGCGAGACGACACGAGGAGAG
rnacentral:rRNA from 1 species